CUACCCUCCAUAAUCCCUUUGUACCAAAUUGUAAGUAUAAUUGGUGUAAUCUAUGGGUACAAUUACCAUAGAAAAAAAUGCAACCGGUUGAAAGAAAAACAGUUUAUGAAACAUAUAGGUUUGCAUCAGUUUGCAUUUAAAUUGUUUAGUUCAGAAAUUCAGAAAGUGUAAGUAGCUAAUUGAUAUCUACCCAGCUAGUAAUUUGACUUCAUAUUUUCAAAUGUGGAACGAAGUUAAAUAAAAAUACGAUGGCUUUAUGUGAAAUUAAGGGGAAAGAUAAAAAUUGGGAGCAAGAAAGAAAAGGAUUAUGUUUGCCACAGAAAGGGUCAAGCUUAAAAUUAUUCUAUUUACUCCCCAUGUUGGGCAUGCAUGCAGUUUAAUACAUAUCCAUCUUUCAAAAACUGAAAGACAACAAGUGGCAGGAAAAAUUUAACUGACCUAAAAUUCAACUUUUUUAAUAUAUGACAAACUUACAAUGAUUAAUUAUUAAAAUGUAGAUAGGGUGCCAUACACAAUCAUUUUGAUGGAACAUAUUUGUCUGCAUUGAACCAAUUUAAAUUUUUCCUUUUCAAAUAAAUGUAACUUAUAAACAGUAAUUAAAAGGUCUUUGAUUUUAUGAAAGGUUCGGCCAUAGAAAAUUACUAACUAGAUGACAGUAAAAUAACAAACAUUUUACUAUAUUACUUUUAUUACAUUAAUUAAUUGACUCCAUAGUUACAUAAUUAUUAUGUAUACUACUAAAAUAAAAUCAAAUUACGUUUACAGAAUUAUUUAUCAGCAAGUAAAUUGUGUAAGUUAAGAUUGUAGAAUUCUAUAGAUAAUAUAUCACUGGAUCUAA
rnacentral:lncRNA from 1 species